GUCAGUGUGACUUAGUGGUUUGUGUGUUGGACUACAACUCUAGAGACCAGGGUUCAAAUCCCACUCAGCCA